rfam:Echinops telfairi cont1.523265, whole genome shotgun sequence.
UAUCCACGGCGCCUCCCUCCCCCUCUUCCCUUUCAGCUGCUGUUAUUACGUGGAGUUUGGAGCCUAAGCUUUGAAACCUCCCAAGUGGCGCCUGUCUUAAGUCGGAGCAUGCUCCGUU